GCCUGAUCCAGCCAUGCCGCGUGUGUGAAGAAGGUCUUCGGAUUGUAAAGCACUUUAAGUUGGGAGGAAGGGCAGUUACCUAAUACGUAAUUGUUUUGACGUUACCGACAGAAUAAGCACCGGCUAACUCUGUGCCAGCAGCCGCGGUAAUACAGAGGGUGCAAGCGUUAAUCGGAAUUACUGGGCGUAAAGCGCGCGUAGGUGGUUUGUUAAGUUGGAUGUGAAAUCCCCGGGCUCAACCUGGGAACUGCAUUUGAAACUGGCAGGCUAGAGUCUUGUAGAGGGGGUAGAAUUUCAGGUGUAGCGGUGAAAUGCGUAGAGAUCUGAAGGAAUACCAGUGGCGAAGGCGGCCCCCUGGACAAAGACUGACGCUCAGAUGCGAAAGCGUGGGGAGCAAACAGGAUUAGAUACCCUGGUAG
rnacentral:rRNA from 1 species